rnacentral:rRNA from 1 species
UACGAAGGGGGGCUAGCGUUGCUCGGAAUCACUGGGCGUAAAGGGUGCGUAGGCGGGUCUUUAAGUCAGGGGUGAAAUCCUGGAGCUCAACUCCAGAACUGCCUUUGAUACUGAAGAUCUUGAGUUCGGGAGAGGUGAGUGGAACUGCGAGUGUAGAGGUGAAAUUCGUAGAUAUUCGCAAGAACACCAGUGGCGAAGGCGGCUCACUGGCCCGAUACUGACGCUGAGGCACGAAAGCG